rnacentral:rRNA from 1 species
UGGUUAUUGCGGCGGGGCUCACCUCUUCCCAUCCCGAACAGAGUAGUUAAGCCCGCCUGCGCAGAUGGUACUGCAGUAUUGUGGGAGAGUAUGUCGUCG